rnacentral:lncRNA from 1 species
GGGUUUCUUGUUUUUUUUUCGCAAAAAUAUUACGAAAGAAGUAACAUUCAAGACAAUAUCAAAAACAAUAACGGGAAUCAUCAAACUUGUUGUUAAUUCGAAUCUCCAACGGUCAGCAAACAGAUUGUAUACAAACAGCAGAAUGUCGAAGAUGAUGUCCAUUAUCCGGUAAACAGUGAUAAAGCUUUUAAAAUAUCUAGGCCAUCCGAAUGUGAUUGUGUCUAAAGAGGAAAAUCCUUUCAUUAAAGCAAAUGUCAUUACACCGUAGAAAAACACAUUAUACAGUAAAAUUAUACUGAACAUCGUAACGGAUAAUCCACUUUCUCUAUAGCCAGUUCGGUUUAUUCCACAUAUUAAUAGAAAUCCACAUACAUUGAUAAAUAGUCCCAUUGCUGUGCGGAUCAUUAGAACUUUCAACUUCUUCUCUUCAAUUUUACCCUGUGGAGACUUAAAGAUUUCAUAUAACGCAAGAAGAAUGGCACACGAAAUAUCCAAAAAAUCUUCUGAAAAACACAUCUUAAAAUAUAGUGUUGACGGAUUGGAG